AUUGAACGCUGGCGGCAUGCCUUACACAUGCAAGUCGAACGGCAGCAUGGAGAGCUUGCUCUCUGAUGGCGAGUGGCGAACGGGUGAGUAAAGCAUCGGAACGUACCGUGUAGUGGGGGAUAACGUAGCGAAAGUUACGCUAAUACCGCAUACGCACUGAGGUGGAAAGCAGGGGAUCGUAAGACCUCGCGCUAUACGAGCGGCCGAUGUCAGAUUAGCUAGUUGGUAGGGUAAGGCCUACCAAGGCGACGAUCUGUAGCGGGUCUGAGAGGAUGAUCCGCCACACUGGGACUGAGACACGGCCCAGACUCCUACGGGAGGCAGCAGUGGGGAAUUUUGGACAAUGGGGGCAACCCUGAUCCAGCCAUGCCGCGUGAGUGAAGAAGGCCUUCGGGUUGUAAAGCUCUUUCGGCCGGGAAGAAAUCGCACAGGCUAAUACCCUGUGUGGAUGACGGUACCGGCAUAAGAAGCACCGGCUAACUACGUGCCAGCCGCCGCCGUAA
rnacentral:rRNA from 1 species